AUUGAACGCUGGCGGCAGGCCUAACACAUGCAAGUCGAGCGGAUGACGGGAGCUUGCUCCUUGAUUCAGCGGCGGACGGGUGAGUAAUGCCUAGGAAUCUGCCUGGUAGUGGGGGACAACGUUUCGAAAGGAACGCUAAUACCGCAUACGUCCUACGGGAGAAAGCAGGGGACCUUCGGGCCUUGCGCUAUCAGAUGAGCCUAGGUCGGAUUAGCUAGUUGGUGGGGUAAUGGCUCACCAAGGCGACGAUCCGUAACUGGUCUGAGAGGAUGAUCAGUCACACUGGAACUGAGACACGGUCCAGACUCCUAUGGGAGGCAGCAGUGGGGAAUAUCGGACAAUGGGCGAAAGCCUGAUCCAGCCAUGCCGCGUGUGUGAAGAAGGUCUUCGGAUUGUAAAGCACUUUAAGUUGGGAGGAAGGGCAGUAAGCUAAUACCUUGCUGUUUUGACGUUACCGACAGAAUAAGCACCGGCUAACUCUGUGCCAGCAGCCGCAGUAAUAC
rnacentral:rRNA from 1 species